rnacentral:rRNA from 1 species
UAAGGAAUAUUGGUCAAUGGACGCAAGUCUGAACCAGCCAUGCCGCGUGAAGGAUGAAGGUCCUCUGGAUUGUAAACUUCUUUUAUCUGGGACGAAAACGGGAUUUUUAUCUCAAUUGACGGUACCAGAGGAAUAAGCACCGGCUAACUCCGUGCCAGCAGCCGCGGUAAUACGGAGGGUGCGAGCGUUAUCCGGAUUUACUGGGUUUAACGGGUGCGUAGGUGGGCUUAUAAGUCAGUGGUGAAAUCUCCGAGCUUAACUUGGAAACUGCCGUUGAUACUAUAGCUCUUGAAUUAUCUGGAGGUAAGCGGAAUAUGUCAUGUAGCGGUGAAAUGCUUAGAUAUGACAUAGAACACCAAUUGCGAAGGCAGCUUACUACAUAUAAAUUGACGCUGAGGCACGAAAGCGUGGGGA